GAUGAACGCUGGCGGUGUGCCUAAUACAUGCAAGUCGAGCGAACGGACGAGAAGCUUGCCUCUCUGAUGUUAGCGGCGGACGUGUGAGUAACAUGUGUAACACCCACCUAAAAGGCGGGUAUAACUUCGGGAAUCCGGAUCUUAUCCCGUAUAAUAUUUUUAACCGCAUGGUUCAAAAGUGAAAGACGGUCUUGCUGUCACUUAUAGAUGGUUCCGCGCUGCAUUUGCUAGUUUGACAGGUAACGGCUUACCAAGGCAACGAUGCAUAGCCGACCUGAGAGGGUGAGCGGCCACCCUAGAACGGUGCCGCGGUACGGACUCCGACGGUAGGGCGCAGAAGGGAAUCUUACGCAAUGCGCGAGAGCAUGACGGAGAAAAGCCGCGUGAGUGAUGAAGGUCUUGGGAUAGUAAAACUCUGUUAUUAGGGAAAAACAUAUGUGUAAGUAACUGUGAACAUAUUGAAGGUACCUAGGCAGAAAGCCACGGCUAACUACGUG
rnacentral:rRNA from 1 species